GGAGGAAUGGCCGAGCGGUCUAAGGCGGCGGUCUUGAAAACCGUUAGGGGCUUCGCGGCUCCUCGUGGGUUCGAAUCCUACUUCCUCCG
rnacentral:tRNA from 1 species